AUUAAGCCGCAGGCUCCACUCCUGGUGGCGCCCUUCCGUCAAUUCCUUUAAGUUUCAGCUUUGCAACCAUACUUCCCCCAGAACCCAAAUACUUUGGUUUCCCGGAAGCUGCCCGCCAAGUCAUUUGAGUAACUCAGGCGGAUCGCUGGUUGGCAUCGUUUAUGGUCAGAACUAGAGCGGUAUCUGAUCGCCUUCAAACAUCUGGCAGAUCAGAAGACAACC
rnacentral:lncRNA from 1 species